AUUGAACGCUGGCGGCGUGCCUAACACAUGCAAGUCGAACGAGAAAGUCCGCAAGGAUGAGUACAGUGGCGCACGGGUGAGUAAUGCAUAGGAAUCUGCCUUUGAGUGAAGAAUACCCUGGAGAAAUCCAGGUUAAUACUGCAUAAGUCGGAAACGAGAAAGAUGGCCUCUUUGCUAUCGCUGAAAGAUGAGCCUAUGUCCUAUUAGCUAGUUGGUAGGGUAAAAGCCUACCAAGGCUCAGAUGGGUAGCCGGCCUGAGAGGGCGAUCGGCCACACUGGAACUGAGACACGGUCCAGACUCCUACGGGAGGCAGCAGUGGGGAAUAUUGCACAAUGGGCGCAAGCCUGAUGCAGCGACGCCGCGUGGAGGAUGAAGGUCUUCGGAUUGUAAACUCCUGUUAAGUGGGAAGAAAGGCUCCUGGCUAAUACCCAGGGGAAAUGACGGUACCACUAGAGAAAGCACCGGCAAACUUCGUGCCAGCCGCCGCAGUAACAC
rnacentral:rRNA from 1 species